AUUGAACGCUGGCGGCAGGCCUAACACAUGCAAGUCGAACGAGUGGCGGACGGGUGAGUAAUGUCUGGGAAACUGCCUGAUGGAGGGGGAUAACUACUGGAAACGGUAGCUAAUACCGCAUACCAUCAGAUGUGCCCAGAUGGGUUUAGAUAGGUGGUGGGGUAACGGCGCACCAAGGCGACGAUCCCUAGCUGGUCUGAGAUGAUGACCAGCCACACUGGAACUGAGACACGGUCCAAGCUCCUACGGGAGGCAGCAGUGGUGAAUAUUGCACAAUGGGUGCAAGCAUGAUGCAGCCAGUCCGCGUGUAUGAAGAAGGCCUUCGGGUUGUAAAGUACUUUCAGCGGGGAGGCGUUACCCGCAGAAGAAGCACCGGCUAACUCCGUGCGAGCAGCCGCGGUAAUAC
rnacentral:rRNA from 1 species